ACACGACUGUCGACAACGGAUAUCUAGGCUCUCGCAUCGAUGAAGAACGUAGCAAAAUGCGAUACUUGGUGUGAAUUGCAGAAUCCCGUGAAUCAUCGAGUUUUUGAACGCAAGUUGCGCCCGAAGCCAUU
rnacentral:rRNA from 4 species